rnacentral:rRNA from 1 species
GACGAACGCUGGCGGCGUGCUUAACACAUGCAAGUCGAACGGAAAGGCCCUGCUUUUGUGGUGUGCUCGAGUGGCGAACGGGUGAGUAACACGUGAGUAACCUGCCCUUGACUUUGGGAUAACUUCAGGAAACUGGGGCUAAUACCGGAUAGGAGCUCCUGCUGCAUGGUGGGGGUUGGAAAGUUUCGGCGGUUGGGGAUGGACUCGCGGCUUAUCAGCUUGUUGGUGGGGUAGUGGCUUACCAAGGCUUUGACGGGUAGCCGGCCUGAGAGGGUGACCGGCCACAUUGGGACUGAGAUACGGCCCAGACUCCUACGGGAGGCAGCAGUGGGGAAUAUUGCACAAUGGGCGGAAGCCUGAUGCAGCAACGCCGCGUGCGGGAUGACGGCCUUCGGGUUGUAAACCGCUUUCGCCUGUGACGAAGCGUGAGUGACGGUAAUGGGUAAAGAGGCACCGGCUAACUACGUG